CCAAAUGUGAGUUCCCUCUCAGUAUUACCCAUUGGCAUAAGCUGUCAAAAUGGGGUCACAGCCUGGGCUGUUCAUAUUCUACUGCUCAGGUAGGUACAGCGUUACAACAGAUCCACUUCUGAUGUUACACACUGCCCACAAAGCUCUGUACACCAUUUAUCCUCAUAGCUGUCAAUGAGCAAUGCUGACCAACUGGCACAACCCACCUAAAACUCUCCUUGGAUUCAUGAGCAGCGUCGAUCACUGUGCUUCAUACAUUGUGUCCAUGAUGCUCUUGUUUUACGAAAGUAAUCCAGGCAAUCCCAGGCCUUCUGGAAUUUACUCUUAUAUCACUUUUCCCUCCCGCUUGCAUGUCCUCUCCCUAGCUCCUUAUAGCAAGCUAUUUGAUAGGCACUAUUAUUUCUGUCUUCAAAAGAAACACAGGAUGUUCCAGAAGAAUUCAAGAGUUGACCGGGUGACACAGUAGGAGAAGAGGCAGUUCCAUGUGCAGGCCAGGCCAAGGAUGUCAGAAACCAGCUGGAAGGAAAGGUCAGAGAGAAGAGUCCUCAGGAGCUGACUGGGCUCUCGUUCCUCCCCUGUGGCAGCAAUGGGCCAUUUCCAUCAGAGGCGGUGCCAUGCUGACCCAAAUGCCUGAGUGCUACUCACCUCCAGAGAGUGAGGAGUCUGAAAAGUUCUCUUAUUGUUUGUUUGCUUGCUUGCUUGCUUGCUUGCUUGAGCCCCAGAGAUUCAGCCCAGGACCCAGGACCUCUUCAAUACUCGGCAGGCAGUGUGCAGCUGAGCUACUCCCGUGGCCAGGAACAAGUUUGGUGGCAGUGACGGAAGAAGAGACCGUUGCGGCUGAAGCUGCACUGCAUGAGGCGAAGGAAGAAGGAGUCUCCUAACUGGUGCCACAUACAUCAGGUCCAACCAUUUCUUCACGUUUAGUCACACCAACCAAAAUGUACUCCCAACUAGCAGCCACGUGCAGAUAAGAC
rnacentral:lncRNA from 1 species